rnacentral:lncRNA from 1 species
AUGAAGGAGUACCAAAGAGUUACUUCCCAGUUUCCAGCUGAAUUAUCUUUUUUAUUAAAAGUGGUGUUUCUUUAUUUUUUCCUCUUAGGAGAUGACUUCUUGGGAACCCUUUUGAGAAUGAAUGACAUCAGCAAAUCCCUAAACAAGACUCUUCAUACAGAGCAUUUCAUCUACCUAUUGUCCAAGGGCUGCCCUCUGAAGGUGAUGGCCACAAAGAUGAGGUGGAUUUGUUACUCUGGAUACCAUUGCUUCUACCACCAGCUUCUCCAAAUCUACGACAGUCUUCCUCAGGCAUGGAAACUCUUCUCUUUCCUGUGUUGCAGUGGAUACCUCCUGCAGAUAAGAAAUGCUUAACUGAGAAAUGCUCAUGUUGGGAUAUCAUCGAUGAGACUUUAAUUUGGGCAUGGUGACUGUUUCCCUUGCUUCCACUUGACUCAAUCCCAGGAGCCUCAGUAGAGGAAAUAUUAUUGCACAAGAAACUCAAAAUGGUGGAAUUGCUCAGUGCUCCCAUAAAAAUACAUUUAUAAAUUUCAUUUGCCAUGUGGUAAAUUUAAAGAAUAAGAUCUAUUUUUUUUCAAAAAUCAAAGCAUAUCUAAAAUAUCUAACAUAUAAAUUAAGCACCCUCCUUUCUCCUAAUACUAUCUCCCAAAGUUUUUCUCUACUAAGGGAGUUGUGUGCAUUCUUUAAGUGGAUAGAUGCGCACACACACACGUUAUUUUUAGGGGGUUCUGGAAUUGGAGCUAUAUUGUACACAUUAUUCUGCAAAUUGCCUCAUUUAACAAUUUUUUCAAUGCCCUUUUUCUGUUUCACUACUACAUAUCUGUGUCAUUUGUUGAAUGACUGCAUGACUGUUUUGUACAUGAAAUAUAAUUAAACGUUUUAAGCACUUAUUCAUAGAUAUUUAUGUUAGCACCAAAUUUCUGUGCAAUGAACCUCCCUAUAUAUCAAUAAUUUAUAUUUGUCUACUAUAUCAUAAUAAAUUACAGUCGAAAUACUGGGAUUAAGUAUAUGCACAUUUCAAAUUUUGAAAAUAAUCACAAGAUUUCCUUAGAAAUAUGGUAACAUCUUUAUCCUUAAAUGGCAAUGAAUGAAUUUGCCAGCUUUCCCACAACCUCACAGAUAAUGAAUUUUAUGAGUAUUUAAAAUCUUUGCCAGUGUGAUAGCCCAAACUAUUGUCUUAAAUUGUAUUUCUUUUGUUUUUGAUCAUUUUUCAUGUGUUUAUUAGCCAUCUAUAUUUAAAAUUUUUCUCUUUAUGUCCAAUUUUGGGGCUGGGGGAGGUUUUAGUCUCUUGCUGAUUUCAGAGAGCUCAUUUAUUAUUGAGGGAGUAAGCUUUUGGAUUGUCAAGCAUUACAGAUAUUUUUAACACCUUUAAACUUCAUUUUUGUUAUAAGAAUGUAUGAUUGUUAUAUGUCCAAGUAUAACCAUGUUUGCUUCUAUGGCUUCUGAGUUUCAUGUCAUUUUGGAAAAAUAUUUAUACUGAUCCCAUAAAACUCUUCACCUAUGUUAACUUCAAAUUCUUUUGUGUUUUUUUUAAUUCAAAUUCUUAAAUCAUGAGAAUUUUUUUGAUUUGAAAUUUAAAGUUGCCAAGUUAUUUGCCAUUAUUUGCGAUUAUUGGCCAAUAAUUGCCCAUUUAUCUGUAAUGCCAUCUUGCACAUAUACUGUAUUCUCAUCUGUGACUGGCUCCAUUUUUGUUCUGUGGGUCUGUGUGUCUCUUCUUCUGCCUCCUGUCUCAUGUGUCUUCUCGUUGGAAGAAAUUACAGUUUAGACUGCAAUUUCAUCAACUUUAAUAAAUUAAUUUAGGGGAGAAUUGGUUUUUAAUCAUAUGUCUUCCUAUCCAAGGACAAGGUAUGUCUUUCCUUUUAUUCAAUAAUUUUAAUUACUUUUAAUAUUUUCACUUUGUGAUAUGGAUAUUUUCCUUCAGUUCAUUUUCUUACUUAAUAAUUUUUCUUUAUCUAAAAGUCGUGUUUUGUUUUGGGAGUAAAUGGUCUCCUUACCCUUUCUUAGGGUUUUUCAGAUUUUUUCAAAUUAUAUCCUAAAUCUCUUACAAAUACUAACAGAUGUGAUUCUCCCCUUCCAAAUUAUGUGAAUUUUAGUUAUGUUAAUAAAAUUCACUGACUGGUACUUUCAGAGCACUUAAACAAUUGUGGAAAUAUUACCCACCCUUUAUUUAAUUAGGUUUUAAUGGAUAGUUCUCGGGUUUGACCAGCACGUUGUUGCUGGUCUAUUACCAAAAAAGACUCUCAUAAACAAUGAUGAUCAAGCAAAGCUGAGUUUAUUAGACCUACUCCAGCAAGGGAAAACACCACUUUGACAAGGUUUAGUAGUAUUUCAAAAACAAGAAAUGAUGGGUUUGGGGGAUGCGCUAAUGUGGUUUAAGGCAGGAUUUUCAAGGCAAUAAACUGGUUAGGAGUGGGAAAAAUUUGUGAUACAAUAGUUUAAAGUUAAUGAAAGAGUAAAAUGAGGACCUUGAUGUGAGUGUAGAUCAUCAAAUUUUUGUCUAAUGAAUGAGCAAUUUCCCUAUGAGUAAUGAUGGAAGAACUAUUUAUUUAGAUGAAUUAACUGAAUUUAUUUAUUGGUUUAUGGUUUUAUCUUGUUUAUAGGACUCUGCUGGGGGUGGUAUCAGGUCUUAUUUCCAAUAGGUAAGUUAUUUUGAUGUAAGUGGUCUCAGUCAUCAGAGUAAUAUGCUAAUUCUAAAUUUGAGAUUUUUGUGUGUGUCAUGUUAGGAAAAGUCUCUUACAUUUUAUAUAUUUCUAAGAAAUUUAAAUCAAAACCAAGUGGUGAAUGUAACCAAAUGCUUCAUAAAAAUUAUAUUAUUCCUUAAACUUCAUCUGUGAAAAUAAUUCAUUUUUAGUAUUGAAAUUCCCUUAUGUUGUUCAUUCAACAGACUUUUAAAGUUUUACUUUUUAAAUUCACUACUGAAUUAUGAGUAUCUUCAUUUGAUUUUGGUUUUUUACAACUGUACUACUAAAAGAAAUUGAUCUGUAAUUUUACAUUUUGCUCUGUUUUUGUCAUGUUUGCAUGUUAGAUUUCCUGGUUGAGUUAAAAUAACUUUAACAAUUUUCUUUUGGAGUUCCCGUUGUGGCGCAGUGGUUAACAAAUCAGACUAGGAACCAUGAGGUUGCGGGUUCGAUCCCUGGCUUUGCUCAGUGGGUUGGAUCCCACGUUGCUGCGGCUCUGGCAUAGGCCAACAGCUAUAGCUCCAGUUAGACUCCUAGCCUGGGAACCUCCACAUGCCGCAGGAGCGGCCCUAGAAAAAGGCAAAAAGACAANAAAAAAAAAAAAAAAAAAAAAAA